GACGAACGCUGGCGGCGUGCUUAACACAUGCAAGUCGUACGGUAAGGCCCUUUCGGGGGUACACGAGUGGCGCACGGGUGGGUAACACGUGCGUAACCUGCCCACAACUUUGGGAUAACGCUAGGAAACUGGUGCUAAUUCUGGAUAUGUUCUCCUUCUGCAUGGUGGGGGUUGGAAAGCUCCGGCGGGUGGGGAUGGACUCGCGGCCUAUCAGCUUGUUGGUGGGGUAGUGGCCUACCAAGGCGGCGACGGGUAGCCGGCCUGAGAGGGUGACCGGCCACAGUGGGACUUAGAGACGGCCCAGACUCCUACGGGAGGCAGGAGGGGGGAAUAUUGCACAAUGGGCGCAAGCCUGAUGCAGCAACGCCGCGGGCGGGAUGACGGCCUUCGGGUUGGAAACCGCUUUCAGCAGGGACGAAGCUUUUUGUGACGGUACCUGCAGAAGAAGCACCGGCCAACUACGUG
rnacentral:rRNA from 1 species